UCAGUCCGCGGACAGAUGUUUCUGAGAACAGGUGGCUGGGGUUGUCCCCUGGAUUUGCAUGGCUAUGACAGACACAGCAGACCUCACAGACUUCAAAGGGAGACACGCCACGACCUGACGGCGAGCCACGCCGCGACCUUUGCCGCCCCGAGCCGCCGCCGCCACGCACACACUCAGAGGCACCGCCGUGGACGGGCUUGGCAGCGGGGUUAAGGAGAUGUGUUGACUUUGAGUCUGCUGGGAUGUGACUUUGCUGCUGCUGUAUAUUCAUGAUCUCCUUCAAGGCAGACAGUCAUCUUAGCCCUUGAAGGGCGGUUUUAUGAAGGGAUUCUGUUCAUGCUGCUCCCUAAAAGUAUGAAUCCUGGGUUUAUUUCUUGUUCACAUGAAAUAAAGAAUAACUUUCCAAA